ACCAUUCUUUUGUUGGGUUUGUGCUACUGUCCAAUGAGCGCAUAGUGAGGGCAAUACUGCUAACACCUACCAAAAAAAAAGGCAAAAAUAAACAUGAAAAA
ensembl:snRNA